GCUGGGCAUGGUGGCGCAUGCCUGUAGUCCCAGCUACUCGGGAGGCUGAGGCAGGAGAAUCACUUGAACCCUGGAGGCGGAGGCUGCAGUGACCCAAGAUUGUGCCACUGCACUCCAGCCUGAGCAACAGAGUGAGACUCUGUCUCAA
rnacentral:SRP_RNA from 1 species